rnacentral:rRNA from 1 species
GGCUCAGAACGAACGCUGGCGGCGCGCCUAAAACAUGCAAGUCGAGCGAGAACCAGGGCUUCGGCCCUGGGGACAGCGGCGAACGGGUGCGUAACACGUGAGCAACCUGCCCCGAAGACCGGGACAAGCCGGGGAAACCUGGUCUAAUACCGGAUGCCCUCACCGGAUCGCAUGAUCUGGCGAGGAAAUGGAUUCCGCUUCGGGAUGGGCUCGCGGUCUAUCAGCUUGUUGGUGGGGUAACGGCCUACCAAGGCGACGACGGAUAGCUGGUCUGAGAGGACGAUCAGCCACACUGGGACUGAGACACGGCCCAGACUCCUACGGGAGGCAGCAGUUAGGAAUCUUGCGCAAUGGGGGAAACCCUGACGCAGCGACGCCGCGUGCGGGAUGAAGGCCCUCGGGUUGUAAACCGCUUUCAGCAGGGACGAAAUUGACGGUACCUGCAGAAGAAGGCCCGGCCAACUACGUGCCAGCAGCCGCGGUAAUACGUAGGGGCCUAGCGUUGUCCGGAAUUAUUGGGCGUAAAGAGCUCGUAGGCGGUUCGGCAAGUCGGAUGUGAAAUCUCCACGCUCAACGUGGAGGGGCCAUUCGAAACUGCCGUGACUCGAGUCCGGUAGGGGAGUGUGGAAUUCCCGGUGUAGCGGUGAAAUGCGCAGAUAUCGGGAGGAACACCAGUAGCGAAGGCGGCACUCUGGGCCGGUACUGACGCUGAGGAGCAAAAGCGUGGGGAGCGAACAGGAUUAGAUACCCUGGUAGUCCACGCCGUAAACGUUGGGCACUAGGUGUGGGACCCUAUCGACGGGUUCCGUGCCGUAGCUAACGCAUUAAGUGCCCCGCCUGGGGAGUACGGCCCGCAGGCUAAA